GAUAAAGUGUUUUGGACAGAUCUGGAGAAUGAAGCCAUCUUCAGUGCAAAUAGGCUGACCGGACAGGAAAUCUCCAUCCUUACCGAUAAUUUAAACAACCCCCAUGAUAUUGUUGUUUUUCAUCAGCAAAAACAGCCGAGAGGUUUGUAGCCCCUCUAGCCCUCUAUGCUCAAUGGUUGUUCUCUUGCUGCAUCUGCUAAAGAAAUGAGUGAAGAGGUCUCACCUCAUGGGGUCCUCGUACAAUGCCAAAACCAAAUUGUGGUUAACUGUAAACUGAAAUUCAAGAUUUAGGCUUAAAUAGCCAAACUGUGUUUCAAUUCACUAUUGAUAUUUGGUGUUUAGCUUAAAAAAAAUCCCCUAUCUGUUUAGUUCUAAAUGUAGAUAUUAGAAGUCCAAUUGGUUUUGCCUUGUUUUCUCAGGUUGCAGUAAUCCUGUUGUCUUUGUACAUCCAGUGGCGAUAGAAUGACUCUGUGCUAAUUAGUGUUAUUUUUACCAUUCAGCCAUUGAUGCGUGUAAUGAUGGGCCUGUUCCAAAUGGCGGCUGUGAAUACCUGUGUCUGCCUGCCCCUCACAUCUCUGCUCAUUCACCGAAAUAUACAUGUGCCUGUCCAGAUGGUGUGGAAUUGGGACCUGACAUGAGGAGCUGCGGGAAAGGUAAGAAUUUUGGGAUUGUGAGGUGGAGAGGAGCAGGGUAUGGAAAAGUGGCCCAUGGACAGUAACCAAAUCCCCACAUUAUUUUACAUGAGGUGUGUUUAUGUAACAUUCCAAAAAAGUUUAAAACCUGUAUGUUUUUUUUGGUGGGGUAGGGCAGGGGAAUUUUUUUUGUAAUUGUUUUUUUGUAUUCUGUAGUUCAACUAAUUUCAUUACAUGGAGUAAAGAACCACUAUUUAUGUGUGUAGUUAUCAGAAACUCUCAUUGCACGUCUGACUUUUUUCUUUAUCAUUAAUAAACUGUUUUAUUUCAGUCAUUACAGAAGUUACCACUUCUUUGGCUACUGUACCUCCACUUUUGACUACCAGCAAGCCCCCUGCCACAAAGUGC